UCCGCUCGUGCGGAUUGGCUGUGUCACAAGCCUCCUCGAGCGGCCCAAGUGCGGCAUGCUGUGUCGAAGCCCCUCUCCACCUCGCUCAGGACUGAAUAUUACACAUUGGAAGCCACAGAUCAACAAAAAGAGUCGAUUAUGAAAUACCUUCAGUUAAAGUGGUGAAAUGUGAUUGUCUAUUUGCAGCACGCCGAGGGUUGGUAUCUCCAGGAUAUAUUAACCAGUUUGGAUAUGUAAUACAAAUGAGGAAAAUGAGGUUGUAUUAGGCGUAUGAACUGUAUUCUUUGGUACGAAACCUGAAUUUUCGUUUUGCA